rnacentral:sRNA from 1 species
UCAUCUGGUCUCUUGUUUCAGUGCUUCCAGGGGAUCCACUUUCAGAAGCUGACUCUGCAGGCAAGACCGACGUUAUUUUCCCGGUGGCUGUGUUCAAAACCACCCAAAGGGUUUGAGAAAUACUUUAAGAGGAGUGGAAGGAACACAAACUGAGAAACAUCAACAGCACCAAAAAAAGAGACUGGUGAACUAGAGAAUGCUGAGUCUGGAGGAGACGGAGGCAGGAGAGGAGGGAAGCGGGAUAACGUUGCCUGGUGGAGGCGGAUGCAGAAGGGGGGACUUCCCCUGGGGUGACGAGGAUUUCCGCAGUCUGGCCCUUUUAGGGGCAGGCGUUGCCGUGGGAUUUUUCUACCUCUAUUUUCGAGAUCCUGGAAGAGAAAUCACUUGGAAGCACUUUGUACAGUAUUACCUGGCCAGAGGUCUGGCGGACCGGCUGGAAGUUGUGAACAAACAAUCUGUGCGUGUUAUUCCUGCCCCUGGGACCUCUUCUGAAGGUUCAACUCUGCCACCAACGUCGUGGUGUUGGCUGGCACCAACCGCCCUGACGUCCUGGACCCGGCCCUCAUGCGGCCUGGCUGGUUUCAUCGCCAGAUUUACACUGGUCCUCCUGACAUCAAAGGCAGGUCCUCCAUCUUUAAGGUCCACCUGCGCCCACUGAAGCUGGACGAGAGCCUCAAUAAGGACGCCCUGGCGAGGAAGCUGGCAGCGCUCACCCCAGGCUUCCCUGGUGUCCAUCAUACCCCAGGGCAAGGGGCUUGGCUACGCACAGUACCUGCCCCGGGAGCAGCAGCUCUACACCCAGGAGCAGCUCUUCGACCGCACGUGCAUGAUGCUCGGGGGCCGGGUGGCCGAGCAGCUGUGCUCCGGGUAGAUCACUGUGGGGGCUCAGGACGACCUGAGGAAGGUCACCCAGAGCGCCUACGCCCAGGUAAGGGUGGGCAUCCCCCGGCACGGGCCGCAGGAGGCUCUGUUGGGCGCAGGCUCAUCCUGGGUUCCGCACUGGCAGGUUGCGCAGUUUGGGGUGAGUGAGAAGCUGGGCCAGGUGUCCUUCGACUUUUCCCGACACGGCAAGGCCCUGGUGGAGAAGCCGUACGGCGAGGCGAGCGCCCAGCUCCUUGAUGACGAGGUCCGGCACCUCGUCAGUGCCACCUGCAGGCGCACCCUGGACCUGCUGACACAGUGCCGGGAGCAUGUGGAGAAGGUGGGCCAGCGGCUCCUGGAGAAGGCAGACAUGGUGGAGCUGCUGGGCGCCCGGCCCUUCGCGGAGAAGUCUACCUAUGAGGAGUUUGUA